rnacentral:rRNA from 1 species
AGAGUUUGAUCCUGGCUCAGGAUGAACGCUGGCGGCGUGCUUAACACAUGCAAGUCGAACGAAGCGCCUUGCUUGAUUUUCUUCGGAAAUGAUUGCAUUGCGACUGAGUGGCGGACGGGUGAGUAACGCGUGGAUAACCUGCCCUGCACAGGGGGAUAACAGCCGGAAACGGCUGCUAAUACCGCUUAAGCGCACACCACCGCAUGGUGGAGUGUGAAAAGCCGAGACGGUGCAGGAUGGGUCCGCGUCUGAUUAGCUUGUUGGCGGGGCAACGGCCCACCAAGGCGACGAUCAGUAGCCGGCCUGAGAGGGCGACCGGCCACAUUGGGACUGAGACACGGCCCAGACUCCUACGGGAGGCAGCAGUGGGGGAUAUUGCGCAAUGGGGGGAACCCUGACGCAGCAACGCCGCGUGAAGGAAGACGGUUUUCGGAUUGUAAACUUCUUUAAGUGUGGAAGAAGAUGACGGUACACACAGAAUAAGCCACGGCUAACUACGUGCCAGCAGCCGCGGUAAUACGUAGGUGGCGAGCGUUGUCCGGAUUUACUGGGUGUAAAGGGCGUGUAGGCGGGUUUUCAAGUCAGAUGUGAAAUACCGGGGCUUAACUCCGGGGCUGCAUUUGAAACUGAGAGUCUUGAGUGCCGGAGAGGAAAGCGGAAUUCCUAGUGUAGCGGUGAAAUGCGUAGAUAUUAGGAGGAACACCAGUGGCGAAGGCGGCUUUCUGGACGGUAACUGACGCUGAGGCGCGAAAGCAUGGGGAGCAAACAGGAUUAGAUACCCUGGUAGUCCAUGCCGUAAACGAUGGAUACUAGGUGUAGGAGGUAUCGACCCCUUCUGUGCCGGAGUAAACACAAUAAGUAUCCCACCUGGGGAGUACGACCGCAAGGUUGAAACUCAAAGGAAUUGACGGGGACCCGCACAAGCAGCGGAGCAUGUGGUUUAAUUCGAAGCAACGCGAAGAGCCUUACCAGGCCUUGACAUCCCAUUGCCGGCAGGGUAAUGCCUGCUUUCCUUCGGGACGAUGGAGACAGGUGGUGCAUGGUUGUCGUCAGCUCGUGUCGUGAGAUGUUGGGUUAAGUCCCGCAACGAGCGCAACCCUUAUCCCCAGUAGCCAGCACGUGAUGGUGGGAACUCUGUGGAGACUGCCGGGGACAACCCGGAGGAAGGUGGGGAUGACGUCAAAUCAUCAUGCCCCUUAUGGCCUGGGCUACACACGUGCUACAAUGGCGUAAACAAAGGGAGGCGAGGCCGCGAGGCGGAGCGAACCCCAAAAAUAACGUCCCAGAUCGGAUUGUAGUCUGCAACCCGACUACAUGAAGCUGGAAUCGCUAGUAAUCGCGGAUUAGCAUGCCGCGGUGAAUACGUUCCCGGGUCUUGCACACACCGCCCGUCA